rnacentral:rRNA from 1 species
GAUGAACGCUGGCGGCGUGCCUAAUACAUGCAAGUCGAGCGAACAGAUGAGGAGCUUGCUCCUCUGACGUUAGCGGCGGACGGGUGAGUAACACGUGGAUAACCUACCUAUAAGACUGGGAUAACUUCGGGAAACCGGAGCUAAUACCGGAUAAUAUAUUGAACCGCAUGGUUCAAUAGUGAAAGACGGUUUUGCUGUCACUUAUAGAUGGAUCCGCGCCGCAUUAGCUAGUUGGUAAGGUAACGGCUUACCAAGGCAACGAUGCGUAGCCGACCUGAGAGGGUGAUCGGCCACACUGGAACUGAGACACGGUCCAGACUCCUACGGGAGGCAGCAGUAGGGAAUCUUCCGCAAUGGGCGAAAGCCUGACGCAGCAACGCCGCGUGAGUGAUGAAGGUCUUCGGAUCGUAAAACUCUGUUAUUAGGGAAGAACAAAUGUGUAAGUAGCUGUGCACGUCUUGACGGUACCUAAUCAGAAAGCCACGGCUAACUACGUG